AUUGAACGCUGGCGGCAGGCCUAACACAUGCAAGUCGAACGAGCGGCGGACGGGUGAGUAAUGUCUGGGAAACUGCCCGAUGGAGGGGGAUAACUACUGGAAACGGUAGCUAAUACCGCAUACCAUCGGAUGUGCCCAGAUGGGAGUAGCUAGUAGGUGGGGUAACGUCUCACCUAGGCGACGAUCCCUAGCUGGCCGGAGAGGAUGACAAGCCACACUGGAACUGAGACACGGGCCAAACUCCUAAGGGAGGCAGCAGUGGGGAAUAUUGCACAAUGGGCGAAAGCCUGAUGCAGCCAUGCCGCGUGUGUGAAGAAGGCCUUCGGGUUGUAAAGUACUUUCAGCGAGGAGGCGUUACUCGCAGAAGAAGCACCGGCUAACUCCGUGCCAGCAGCCGCGGUAAUAC
rnacentral:rRNA from 1 species